rnacentral:rRNA from 1 species
CAUGCAGUCGAACGAUGAACCGCUUUCGGGCGGGGAUUAGUGGCGAACGGGUGAGUAACACGUGGGCAAUCUGCCCUGCACUCUGGGACAAGCCCUGGAAACGGGGUCUAAUACCGGAUAUGACUGUCCAUCGCAUGGUGGAUGGUGUAAAGCUCCGGCGGUGCAGGAUGAGCCCGCGGCCUAUCAGCUUGUUGGUGAGGUAGUGGCUCACCAAGGCGACRACGGGUAGCCGGCCUGAGAGGGCGACCGGCCACACUGGGACUGAGACACGGCCCAGACUCCUACGGGAGGCAGCAGUGGGGAAUAUUGCACAAUGGGCGAAAGCCUGAUGCAGCGACGCCGCGUGAGGGAUGACGGCCUUCGGGUUGUAAACCUCUUUCAGCAGGGAAGAAGCGAAAGUGACGGUACCUGCAGAAGAAGCGCCGGCUAACUACGUGCCAGCAGCCGCGGUAAUACGUAGGGCGCAUGCGUUGUCCGGAAUUAUUGGGCGUAAAGAGCUCGUAGGCGGCUUGUCACGUCGGUUGUGAAAGCCCGGGGCUUAACCCCGGGUCUGCAGUCGAUACGGGCAGGCUAGAGUUCGGUAGGGGAGAUCGGAAUUCCUGGUGUAGCGGUGAAAUGCGCAGAUAUCAGGAGGAACACCGGUGGCGAAGGCGGAUCUCUGGGCCGAUACUGACGCUGAGGAGCGAAAGCGUGGGGAGCGAACAGGAUUAGAUACCCUGGUAGUCCACGCCGUAAACGGUGGGCACUAGGUGUGGGCAACAUUCCACGUUGUCCGUGCCGCAGCUAACGCAUUAA